CGCCUGGGGAGUGCGGCCGCAAGGUUAAAACUCAAAUGAAUUGACGGGGGCCCGCACAAGCGGUGGAGCAUGUGGUUUAAUUCGACGCAACGCGAAGAACCUUACCUGGCCUUGACAUCCAGAGAGCUUUCCGGAGAUGGAUUGGUGCCUUCGGGAACUCUGAGACAGGUGCUGCAUGGCCGUCGUCAGCUCGUGUCGUGAGAUGUUGGGUUAAGUCCCGUAACGAGCGCAACCCCUAUCCCUGGUUGCUAGCAGGUAAUGCUGAGAACUCCAGGGAGACUGCCGGUGACAAACCGGAGGAAGGUGGGGAUGACGUCAGGUCAUCAUGGCCCUUACGGCCAGGGCUACACACGUGCUACAAUGGCGCGUACAGAGGGCUGCCAACUCGCGAGAGUGAGCCAAUCCCUUAAAACGCGUCGUAGUCCGGAUCGGAGUCUGCAACUCGACUCCGUGAAGUCGGAAUCGCUAGUAAUCGCGAAUCAGAAUGUCGCGGUGAAUACGUUCCCGGGCCUUGUACACACCGCCCGUCACACCAUGGGAGUGGAUUGCACCAGAAGUAGUUAGUCUAACCUUCGAGAGGACGAUUACCACGGUGUGGUUCAUGACUGGGGUGAAGUCGUAACAAGGUAACCGUA
rnacentral:rRNA from 1 species